AUGCUGCUCCUGUCACACAUCGUCGUGGUGGCCUCCCUUUGGACUUAUACAAGUGGAGAUGUUCUAAUAACACAAGUCACAACAUUUAUUACCAAGAAAAAAGGAAAUACGGCAUUUCUUGAAUGCAAAGUAAAAAGAGGUGCCUUUAAGGAGAAUGCGUGUAUACACUGGUACCGACAGAAGCCAGACCAGCCUCUAAGACGCAUUCUGUAUAUUUCCUCAAAUGAAAACGUUGUCCACGAACAAGGUGUUAGCGAGGAAAGAUACGAAGCAAGGAAACGGCAGAGUGAUUUGUCAGCGAGCCUCAGGAUCCACCAAGUUGAGGAGGCGGACGCGGGGCUGUAUUACUGUGCCUGCUGGGAUCCACUCUCCGGCUGGAUCAAGAUAUUCGGAGAAGGGACUAAGCUCAUAGUAACUCCCUCUGAUAGCAGCCUUCCUACAGACAUUUCCCCCAAGCCCACUAUUUUUCUUCCUUCAAUUGCUGAAGUAAACCUCCAUAAUGCUGGAACAUAUCUUUGUCUUCUUGAGAAAUUCUUCCCUGAUGUUAUCAAGGUAUAUUGGAAAGAAAAGAACAGCAAUACAAUUCUGGAAUCCCAGCAGGGAAAUACCAUGAAGACUAAUGACACGUACAUGAAAUUCAGCUGGCUGACUGUGUCUGAAAAGUCAAUGGAUAAAGAGCACAUAUGUAUUGUCCAACAUGAGAAUAAUAAAAGAGGGGUUGACCAAGAGAUUCUUUUUCCUCCCAUAAUGAAAGAGGUCACUGCUAUUGAUUCUACAAAAGCUUGUCUGAAAGAUGAAAGCAACACCCUGCAGCUGCAGCUCACCAGCACCUCUGCCUAUUACACCUACGCCCUCCUCCUCCUCAAGAGCAUGAUCUACUUUGCCAUCAUCGCCUUCUGCCUGUUCAGGAGAACAGCAGUCUGUGGCAGUGGAAAGAGUUCCUGACAGAUGGUGGAAACAAGAAGGCAACUUUUCUCCAUUGUUUAUUGUUCCUAAAAGUGUCUCAUAAAGUGGGCUUUUUCUCUGGGUGUGGGUUAUUUCAGUUCACAUGUGUGCUUUUCUAUUAUGUCAUUAUUGCAUUUUCAAACCACCGGGGAAACAAAAUUUUACUCUGUAACAACAAUGAAUUCUGCCAUUACUCAGGGACAGGGCUAAGGGGUAGUCCUUUAGCACCACUGUCUCCAUGAUCUCCAUCAGCUCCUCCAGAAACCCAAAUAAUCAUGCCUUCUGAGUACAGACAGCAUGCAGCUUCUAGUCACGUCCCUUAUGGAUCUUUAACCAGACGUCUGCCUUGAAGCCUUCCAUUUUACACAGCCUGAAGCCACCAUCUUUGCUACUUAAAUUCUGUACUUUGCUUUUCAUAGUAGGCACA